UUCAUUGUUGAAUAUUUAUUGGUGGUCACAGGCAGGGGAUAGCAAAAAGAGGAACUUGUGACAGGGAGCAAACUUAUCACACUGGGGCACCUGGUCACCCAAGCAGGGUGAUCACAGCCUGUUUUGGGGGAUGUUGAAGGAGCAGGAAAAUAUAAAGUUCUAAAAUUUACAAUACAGUAUCAUGCUAUUAUUUUUUGUAAUUCCAUAGCCAAAUAAUAAAUAGCUUUCAUAAACUUGGUGCUAUGAAUGCUGUUGCUCAAUAAAUAUUUCUUGAGUGAAUGAAUGAAUGGUUAAUGAAAGAAACACUCUUUAUUUACAACACUGAUUCCCUAAUCAAGGCCUUCAUCUCCUCUACACCUGGAAUCCUGUCCUUCAUAUGUAACACUCACAACAAAUACUUCUUAAUAUCCCCCUUAAUAUUAUCAUGGUUUAAAAAAAGAAAAUCCAUGUUCCAGUUCUCAAUUGCUGUAUAACAAACCAUCUCAAAGUUUGUUUAAACAUUGACCUUCAAAGGAAAUGUAUUAUUUUUCACCAAGGGUCUGUGAGCUAAUCAGUCUCAGCUGGGCGGUCUUUGCUUGGGCCCCUACGUGCUUUUGCUGGACAGGAGCUAAGACCGAAAUAAUGUGAAGGCUCAAGAAGGUGAAGCGCUGGUGAAGAUGACUCACUCAACAUGACUGGCAGUUAUUGGUAUCUGUCAGUUGGGAGUACAGUUGAUACUAUGAACUGCAGUAUCUACAUGUGGCCUUUUCAUGUGGCUCAGGAUUUUCAAAUCAUGGUGACUGGGUUCUUAGAAGGAGUAUACCAAGAGCAAGCAUUCCAAGAGACAAGAGUGGAAGAAGGUCUGGAUCUGUAAUUUGGCACAUCAUAAUUUCUGCAAUAUUCCAUAAGGCAAAGCAGCCACAGGAUCUGCCUAGAUUCAAGGGAAGAAGGAAGUUCCACCUUUUGAAGGGGGUCAUAAAAACUAUAGUCAUCUCCAUUUCCUUAAACCAAUAAGCAUUAAAUACUAAUAAUAGACAUCUUUUAUUAUUAUUGUUUAUUAUUUCCCUUAUUUCUCACUCAUCCUAAAAUCUUCACAUAACCCUAGGUCUUGAUUUUGUGCAUGAGGAAACUGAGGAUGAAAAUAGUUAUGUAAUUUGGUAAAAGUCACACAAUAAGAGUUCAAAGACAGAUAUGCCUUUGCCGUUUUAUUUCAUUAUCCUUUCACUCUUCCAUAAAAUUUACUAUGAUUCCCUUUACCUUCUCACAUCAAAGCUAAAUUCCUGUGUUUCUAACCCAUCCAUAAUCUGCCCUAUUCCUGCCUAUGCCAUCUUACACCUCUCAGCCUCCUCUGUACUCUCUUUUCCAUAAUGCCAUUGUUCCUCUUACCUGGGAUGCCUCCACCCUACCCCUCCAAUUUAAAUCCUACCAAUCAUUCUUGCUGUCCUUUUCUCUGAAUAUGUCCCUAACUAGAGCAAGGCAGAAUGACUUCCCCUCCUGUGGAGUUAAAGCAUAUUUCUUAUGUAGUGGCUCAUGGACUUCUUGUUUUCAUGCAUGUUAGUUUUAUCUUUCCAAGUGUAUUAUAAAUUUUUGUGGCUAUAAUCUAUGUCACCAAGUCUGAUAUUCCUUCUAAAUUCCUUAUACGUCCCACCCUCUAAGACUGGUUCACCAGAGAAUUGGCAAUAAACUACAUUAUGCUGCUGUAGUCAUGGUAGAGUCCACUGGAGGCCUCCAUACAAAAAUUAUCAGUGGAAAUAUUAGUCUGAAGUAACUAGUUUGACUGUAGAGAAGUCAAGCACAGUAUGCAGACCAUACACUCAUGCAAAUUUUGUGUUGUGUUCACCCCUGAGCCUUCUCAGCAAAUUAGAGGGAAAAUCCUACAGAGCAAAGUGGCCCAGCAAAGCUGGCAGAGUUAGCGGCUACAUGCUGUGAUUUCUAAAUUUCCAUUAGAGAGCAUUUUCCUUUCUGCUAGGUGGAGAUUGAAAUGCCUUUGAUAGGAUAAUUUAUCCUACAAUUAAGAAUGAAGCUUAAGGCACAAGUUCACUAAAAUUAUAAGAUCUUUUCCAUAGCAGGUUCUGAUCUGUGUUAUAAAAGGUACAGGGAAAAGAAGUUACUGAGCAUAUUGUAGGGAAGCAAGUUUCUCGAGAAAGGAAAAAAGAUAAAAUGAGGAGGUUGGUAAAAUGCUGGCUUGAAAUGGUGAGCCCUGGGCGGAAGA
ensembl:lncRNA